CAAACUGGAAGAAGCAGAGAAGACGAAGCAGGCCGGCCAGUACCUCGACUUGCUUCUGCAGGGACUGGACGUAGUUGAUGAUCUCGUCGAGCAUGCCGGCCUUGCCGGUGACCUUGCUGCACCCGGGCACCAGCUCCUGCAGGUAUCUCAUCCGCUCGCUGAUCCUCUCCCUCCUCACCUGCACAACAUUCGGCGAUUGAUUCUGAGUUCUGACAGCAGCAGGAUGCAUACGCAAGGUAGGAUCGGUGGUGAUGUGCGGCAUCAUCGAGCGUGCAAAAUGGUAGCUGUGGCUUGUGGGUAGUACCCGCUCGGCGAGGCUGUGGCUGUCCGUGGCCUGGCCGCGGCGUGCCCGGACGUGGAUGUAGUCGGUCUUCUGGCCGGCAGCCGCCGCCGUCGACGCCGCCUCCGCCUUCUUCUUGGUCCCCGCCUUUGGCCUCUCCUGCUUCCCUUUCCCGGGCGCCGCGAUCUCACCGAGGCCACCCAGCUGCUGCUGCUUCCCUCUGGGUCUCUUGCUCAUGUCGUUGCCAUCACCCUGCCCAAGGCCAAGUUUCGACACACGCGUCAGUCAAAGACUUCAAUCGAAUUUGCACGGCACUACGGCAGUGCACAUCUCCGGUAGAGGAUUGCACCGUGAUAGCAUAAAUCUCUCACCUUGGCGUCGAGGUACGCGUCCGGCCGCCUCUUCCUGAAUCCGCCGGCGCCGGCGCUGCCGCUGCACGAGGAGGUGUCGUUGCCGUCGCCGGCGCCCGGCGCCGCCGCGGCCGGCGCGCCAAGGCUCGCGCCGCACAUGGCGCCCAGGUCCGGCCACUCCUGGAGGUAGCCGAACGCGCUGCACAUUGCGCCGAACUUGUCGUCGUCGAGGUCCAGCAGGCCCUGGCACAGGCUCUCGACGGUCCCCUGGCAUCGCGCCAUCUGCAGCCCUCCCGAGGCGAUCGAGCUCAGCGCUGUGGCCUAAGCAGAAAACCAACGAUGCCCGACAAGGCUUCCUUGGCUCAGCUGCUUGGCGCAGGCAGGCGCGCGCGUGAGCUGUGAGCCCCCGAUGAAGAGAGAAUUCGAGCAGCGUGGCUGGCAAUUAUGCAGGAGGUGUGCGGGCGUGGUAGCGUAGGGUGGGGGGAGGGUCUUGUGGGUGAAGCUUGCGCGUCCCUUUCGAUCCCCUGCGUCUGUGGCCUCCUGGAAAAUUUCCCAAUCCAUAUAUAUAGGGAGAACGGCGGGUGGAUGGAUAGGGGAGGGCCUUUGCUUGGGGGCGAU
rnacentral:lncRNA from 1 species